CUUCACUUUACACACAACCAUUCAUGGGUGUCCCCUCUCUUGUCUUGGUUAAGAACGAGGCAAGUCGGUAUGCAGUGGAUCUUGACUCUCUCAAUCACUACAACAGCUCAUAAUUCCUCUUUACUUCACAUACAACCAUUCAUGGGUCUCGCCUCUUUAGCCGUGUUGGUUAAGGACGAGGCAAGCCACUGCUAGUCCCAUAUCAAGGUCUUGCGUCUGCUUGAGAAAGAUAAUAAAGGAAGUGAAAUUCGCAUCUGACAUUUCUCCCUCUCGCUUCAUGAUAAUAUAAGUGUUUGGGAGCCGAUAGAGUACAUGAGUUCUGAUUCUUUCAAAAUAAUUAGUGUCAAACUUUGCAAGAUCCAUCACGAGGCUUUCCUGUGUAUAUGUUGCAUGAUUAGAAUAUUCAUGUUUAACGGAACCUAGGCUUAAAGGAUGCAUGUUAAAAAUCUUUCCGUGUGUGUGUGUGUGUGUGUGUGUGUGUGUGUGAUGCGGAGUAGAGGGUGGAGCUAAAACCCUGACCUCACAUUAAACUAUCAAUUUUUCCUGCGACAAUAGUUUUUCCCUCCUGCCUGUUAUAUAUUUACUUGGUACAAUAUAACAACACGUAUACUAGUUAGCUAAACUUUUUGGCCUGCAUGUAUUGACUAACCCAGCGCUGAUAAGAAUGCAUGUGUGCACUAGUACAUUAACCUGGAUGGGACGUCAGUGAUAUUUGGCAGCUAUGACGAGGUGGGAGAGGAGGAGGAGGUCAGUGAAAUCACAAAAAGAAGCACGGCAAGUAUCGUCGCCCAUUCUUCCCUUCACCUAGCCAUGACCCUCGUUCACGUGUGCCUGCUGCUUGAGCGUGGCGCUGCUGGCCGCCCCCACACCUCUCAGAGCAGCGCCCUCACAGCCCGCCCAAGCCGCUGCCAAUUUGCUGAGUGUAUGGCAGCCAGAACACAGAGCAGCAGUACCAAAUGUCGCCCAGGCUCAGGUCGGUGGCUCAACAGCUCGGGACGGAGGCGAUGACGGCUACACCAUUCAUAUCGAGUACGGCUUCCCGCUGUACACCUUCCACAUCCCUUUCAAGGCACUGCACUGAUCCUGAAGUCUGCUAAAUACACAGAAAAAGCAACAAUGAGAAAGAGAGAGAGAGAGAGAGAGAGAGAGAGAGAGAGAGAGAGAGAGAGAGAGAGAGAGAGAGAGAGAGAGAGAGAGAGAGAGAGAGAGAGAGUAAU